CUCAGGAUGAACGCUGGCGGCGUGCUUAACACAUGCAAGUCGAACGAAGCACUUUAUUACGAUUUCUUCGGAAUGACGAUUUAGUGACUGAGUGGCGGACAGGUGAGUAACGCGUGGGUAACCUGCCUUGUACUGGGGGACAACAGUUGGAAACGACUGCUAAUACCGCAUAAGCGCACAGCUUCGCAUGAAGCAGUGUGAAAAACUCUGGUGGUACAAGAUGGACCCGCGUCUGAUUAGCUGGUUGGUGAGGUAACGGCCCACCAAGGCGACGAUCAGUAGCCGGCCUGAGAGGGUGAACGGCCACAUUGGGACUGAGACACGGCCCAAACUCCUACGGGAGGCAGCAGUGGGGAAUAUUGCACAAUGGGGGAAACCCUGAUGCAGCAACGCCGCGUGAGUGAAGAAGUAUUUCGGUAUGUAAAGCUCUAUCAGCAGGAAAGAAAAUGACGGUACCUGACUAAGAAGCCCCGGCUAACUACGUG
rnacentral:rRNA from 1 species